rnacentral:snRNA from 1 species
GGAUGUGACGGAGAUCUGGCUACAACAUCAGUCACCCCAUUAACUGCCAGGGUUGAUUUGGCUCAUCUGGCUGACUAGGCAGGUGUCCCCUUUCUCCCUCACCACUGCUUGUGCGUCCCUCCCAAAGCUGCACACACAGAAGACGACAACCUUCCCCAAUAAAGGAGGACAGUUCUUCGUUUAAGGGUAUAUGAGUAGCUGCACUCCCCUGCUAGAAUCCCCAAACAAGCUCUCAAAUACAAAAUAUUACAUAAAAUCCAAGGAGGAUAAUGACCAAAAAUGCUAAUUAUCUUGCUAAAACAGUCUGUUACUAUUGCUUA